AAACAGCAGUAAAACAAAAACAAAGACAAAAAUAAAAACAAAAACAAAAACAAAACAAUAGAGCAUUAGUAACUCUAGCAGAAAUAGCGUAAAUAGCGUGAAUAAUUAUCUAAACAUACGAAACAUAAAUACAAUCGCCUGCAAUAAUAUCAUACAGUAACUACCAUAACUAACAGCCAUAGGGGGGACAUACUCUAAAACACAAAUCAUCUAUGGGUAACCCUGCUGACCCACACCCAACCCCGGAUGAGGCGUACGAAAAACUUUAGGAGCCCCUAUCCUACAACCCUGAUUCUAGACCUCCAGACUUUUCUAUCAAGGGUCAUGUCCUCGAAAACCCGCAUUCUAGCCAUGUCAUACCUAAUCACCUCUCCCUAAUACCUCUUAGACCUCCCUCUGCCUCGCCUCACGCCGACCACC
rnacentral:lncRNA from 1 species